GAUGAACGCUGGCGGCGUGCCUAAUACAUGCAAGUCGAACGCAUUGUGGUUGAAAUGAUAUGAAGAACUUGUUCAGAUUUGAUUUUCAACAUUGCAAUGAGUGGCGAACGGGUGAGUAACACGUGGGAAACCUACCUCUUAGCAGGGGAUAACAUUUGGAAACAAAUGCUAAUACCGUAUAAUAAUUAAAACCGCAUGGUUUUAGUUUAAAAGAUGGUCUUGCUAUCACUAAGAGAUGGUCCCGCGGUGUAUUAGUUAGUUGGUGAGGUAAUGGCUCACCAAGACAAUGAUACAUAGCCGAGUUGAGAGACUGACCGGCCACAAUGGGAGUGAGACACGGCCCAUACUCCUACGGGAGGCAGCAGUAGGGAAUCUUCCACAAUGGACGAAAGUCUGAUGGAGCAACGCCGCGUGUGUGAUGAAGGGUUUCGGCUCGUAAAACACUGUUGUAAGAGAAGAAUGACAUUGAGAGUAACUGUUCAAUGUGUGACGGUAUCUU
rnacentral:rRNA from 1 species